rnacentral:rRNA from 1 species
GAUGAACGCUGGCGGCGUGCCUAAUACAUGCAAGUCGAGCGAACAGACGAGGAGCUUGCUCCUCUGACGUUAGCGGCGGACGGGUGAGUAACACGUGGAUAACCUACCUAUAAGACUGGGAUAACUUCGGGAAACCGGAGCUAAUACCGGAUAAUAUAUUGAACCGCAUGGUUCAAUAGUGAAAGACGGUUUUGCUGUCACUUAUAGAUGGAUCCGCGCCGCAUUAGCUAGUUGGUAAGGUAACGGCUUACCAAGGCAACGAUGCGUAGCCGACCUGAGAGGGGGAUCGGCCACACUGGAACUGAGACACGGACCAGACGCCUACGGGAGGCAGCAGUAGGGAAUCUUCCGCAAUGGGCGAAAGCCCGACGGAGCAACGCCGCGUGAGUGAUGAAGGUCUUCGGAGCGUAAAACUCUGUUAUUAGGGAAGAACAAAUGUGUAAGUAACUAUGCACGUCUUGACGGUACCUAAUCAGAAAGCCACGGCUAACUACGUG